rnacentral:rRNA from 1 species
AAGGAAUAUUGGACAAUGGGCGCAAGCCUGAUCCAGCCAUCCCGCGUGCAGGAUGAAUGCCCUCUGGGUUGUAAACUGCUUUUAUAUGAGAAGAAACCCCUGGAUUCAUCCGGGGCUGACGGUAUCAUAUGAAUAAGCACCGGCUAACUCCGUGCCAGCAGCCGCGGUAAUACGGAGGGUGCAAGCGUUAUCCGGAAUCACUGGGUUUAAAGGGUGCGUAGGUGGCUUGGUAAGUCAGAGGUGAAAGCCCGUCGCUUAACGAUGGAAUUGCCUUUGAUACUGCUAAGCUUGAAUAAGGUUGAGGUGGGCGGAAUGUGGCAUGUAGCGGUGAAAUGCAUAGAUAUGCCAUAGAACACCAAUUGCGUAGGCAGCUUACUGGACCUAUAUUGACGCUGAGGCACGAAAGCGUGGGGAUCAAAC